AGUAGGGAAUCUUCCGCAAUGGACGAAAGUCUGACGGAGCAACGCCGCGUGAGUGAUGAAGGUUUUCGGAUCGUAAAACUCUGUUGUUAGGGAAGAACAAGUAUCGGAAUNNNGGGCGGUACCUUGACGGUACCUAACCAGAAAGCCACGGCUAACUACGUGCCAGCAGCCGCGGUAAUACGUAGGUGGCAAGCGUUGUCCGGAAUUAUUGGGCGUAAAGCGCGCGCAGGCGGUUUCUUAAGUCUGAUGUGAAAUCUUGCGGCUCAACCGCAAGCGGCCAUUGGAAACUGGGAGACUUGAGUGCAGAAGAGGAGAGUGGAAUUCCACGUGUAGCGGUGAAAUGCGUAGAGAUGUGGAGGAACACCAGUGGCGAAGGCGACUA
rnacentral:rRNA from 1 species